rnacentral:rRNA from 6 species
UGCGACCCCAGGUCAGGCGGGACUACCCGCUGAGUUUAAGCAUAUCAAUAAGCGGAGGAAAAGAAACUUACCAGGAUUCCC